AGUGAACGCUGGCGGUAGGCCUAACACAUGCAAGUCGAACGGCAGCACAGUAAGAGCUUGCUCUUACGGGUGGCGAGUGGCGGACGGGUGAGGAAUACAUCGGAAUCUACUUUUUCGUGGGGGAUAACGUAGGGAAACUUACGCUAAUACCGCAUACGACCUACGGGUGAAAGCAGGGGAUCUUCGGACCUUGCGCGAUUGAAUGAGCCGAUGUCGGAUUAGCUAGUUGGCGGGGUAAAGGCCCACCAAGGCGACGAUCCGUAGCUGGUCUGAGAGGAUGAUCAGCCACACUGGAACUGGGACACGGUCCAGACGCCUACGGGAGGCAGCAGUGGGGAAUAUUGGACAAUGGGCGCAAGCCUGAUCCAGCCAUACCGCGUGUGUGAAGAAGGCCUUCGGUUUGUAAAGCCCUUUUGUGGGGAAAGAAAAGCAGCAGGUUAAUACCCCGCUGUUCUGACGGUACCCAAAGAAUAAGCACCGGCUAACUUCGUG
rnacentral:rRNA from 1 species